GACGAACGCUGGCGGCGCGCCUAACACAUGCAAGUCGAAUGGAGUCAAGAGGAGCUUGCUUUUCUUGACUUAGUGGCGAACGGGUGAGUAACGCGUGAGUAACCUGCCCUGGAGUGGGGGACAACAGUUGGAAACGACUGCUAAUACCGCAUAAGCCCACGGAUCCGCAUGGAUCUGCGGGAAAAGGAUUUAUUCGCUUCAGGAUGGACUCGCGUCCAAUUAGCUAGUUGGUGAGGUAACGGCCCACCAAGGCGACGAUUGGUAGCCGGACUGAGGGGUUGAACGGCCACAUUGGGACUGAGACACGGCCCAGACUCCUACGGGAGGCAGCAGUGGGGGAUAUUGCACAAUGGGGGAAACCCUGAUGCAGCGACGCCGCGUGGAGGAAGAAGGUUUUCGGAUUGUAAACUCCUGUCGUUAGGGACGAUAAUGACGGUACCUAACAAGAAAGCACCGGCUAACUACGUG
rnacentral:rRNA from 1 species